UCUCCUAGUAACGGCGAGUGAACGGAGAUUAGCCCAUCACCGAAGUCUAUUCACGUUUGUGAACAGGACAAUGUGGUGUUCGGGUGUGCACCUGGGAGCGCUUGCCUACUCGAAGUCCAACACCGAUUAUGGCUUGGACCAUGCCCACAGCGGGUGAAAGGCCCGUACGGGUAGGCAUUGUUGUAUUUGAAGCGCUCCUCAGAUGUGCAUGCUCUCGAGUCGGAUUGCUUGAGAAUGCAGUCCAAAGUGGGUGGUAAACUCCAUCCAAGGCUAAAUACUGGCGCGAGUCCGAUAGUAGACAAGUACCGUGAGGGAAAGUUGAAAAGUACUCUGAAGAGAGAGUAAACAGUACGUGAAGCCGCUUGCAGGGAAGCUGGUGGAGUCAAGCUUCAUGCCUGUGAAUUUGUUAUCAGGAAGCUUUGUUGGUUGCAGGGACGUGAUACUAGUGAGCCUGGAAAUGGUUUGCCGCAUUUCAUCGUGUGGUUCAAGUCAUACUGGGUUGUCUGUUUGAACUGGUAUCAAUCGUUAUCCUCUUCCUGGUACUGAAUUUCACGCUUGGCAUACAUCACGAUCGAUACGACUUGUAAUGUGUGAUUGUUUAACUGCACUUUGGCGGGCAUUCUUGUUUGCCGGGUGCGGAACGGCAGGUGGCACGUAUGGGCCUCGUUGCUCGUGUCUUGCUUAUUGUGGAUUUCGAUCUGCCAACAAUCAUGUUGUUGUUCUUGUAACAUUAUCAGUCGUAUCGCCCCACUUGUGAGGUGCGCUCCUCGGAGCGUGACUCAGUGAGAAUCGUGAUGCUGAGGUAGACUUCCACCCGACCCGUCUUGAAACACGGACCAAGGAGUUUAACAUGUACGCGAGUCACUGGGCUCUUCAUGAAACCCAACGGCGCAAUGAAAGUGAAUGGUCACUUCUCGUGAUCUUAGGUGUGAUCCUGGGUUGGUCUCUACCGAGGCCCCUGGGCGCAACACCGGCCCGUCUCGUAAUGUUGUCGCGCUGGCCUUUGGUUGGCGCGCGUCAUUGCGGCGGAGCAAGAGCGUACAUGUUGAGACCCGAAAGAUGGUGAACUAUGCUUGCGUAGGUUGAAGCCAGAGGAAACUCUGGUGGAGGACCGAAGCGGUUUUGACGUGCAAAUCGAUCGUCAUACGUGAGCAUAGGGGCGAAAGACUAAUCGAACCAUCUAGUAGCUGGUUCCCUCCGAAGUUUCCCUCAGGAUAGCUGGCACUCACUUCGCGAAGCAGUUUUAUCCGGUAAAGCGAAUGAUUAGAGGUCUUGGGGACUAAUAGUCCUCAACCUAUUCUCAAACUAUAAAUGGGUACGAUGCUCAGCUCGCUUGAUUGGAGUUGGGCAUCGAAUGUGAGUGCCAAGUGGGCCAUUUUUGGUAAGCAGAACUGGCGCUGUGGGAUGCUCCGAACGUUCAGUUAAGGUGCCAAACCCGACGCUCAUGUGAUACCAGAAAAGGUGUUAAUGCAUUUAGACAGCAGGACGGUGGCCAUGAAAGUUGGAAUCCGCUAAGGAG
rnacentral:rRNA from 1 species